GAGAGAGAGAGAGAGAGAGAGAGAGAGAGAGAGAGAGAGAGAGAGAGAGAGAGAGAGAGAGAGACUUCAUGGCUCCCGGAACAACAUUGUGCAGGAGGUGGGCGUGUUGAUGAGCAGGGAUGGGCCCGGUCAGGUGACUGCCGAUCUGUGUCCGUGCGUACCUGUACGACAGGUAGGGUCAGGUAGACACACAACACCCUCCAGCGACGGAUUAACUGACCCAUUGUUGCACCAAAUACCACUUCAUCACACACGUCAUCCCAUGUGUGUGCUCACAUGCAGGUAGCCAAACAUACACACAUUCGCUAAAACACACACACACACUUAUGGACACAUUCUGUAUACACACACGCACGCACACACUCGCUAACACGCACACAUACACACACAAACAUUUACACGUUUACACACAAACACACACGCAUAAACACACGCACACAUAAUCACAGACACACAGGCACUUACACGCCCACAGACAAACACAUACGCACCACACAUAUACACACACACACACACACAGACAAUUGCACGCAUACACAAACAUGAUUGAAUGAGCUCAACAACAUGGAGAGCUUCCCAUUGUAAGUAAGCUUUCUAGAAUUGUCUGCGUUCUGCCUCAGGCAGGUUUAUCUGAGGGCUUGAGUGCUUGUUGUGUACGAUACUUGUUAUUCAGAUUCAGAUGAGUCGAAUAUGAAUUUGAACCAUAAUAAUCCUGUGGGAAAUAAUGUGUGUCCCUAGUUGCAUAUAUGUUGUGUAACGUGUGAUAAUCGUCUCAUGCUUGUUAUGUAAAAGAAAACCAAGACGUAUUGUGAACGUUUUCCCAGAAAUUAUCACUAUUAUGUUUUAUUUAUUUAUGUAUUGGUGUAUCUAUAAAAAUAAUGAUUGUGCCAUGAAGGGCAGAGAAUUUCUGCUGCUGUGAUUAUGCUGUCAUGGCAACCGCAUCUCACAGAACCCUCGGCCUUCAUCUAUGUUUUCACUUGGAUUCGAACAGGACCUUGUUUUUAACUCUGAUGGGUUACGAUGCAGUAAUGGAGGUAAACCCAGCGUGUACCUUAUGAUUACACCACCACUGUGAUCCACUGCAGCCACCCUCGUGCGACCGCUAAACCCUUCCCCCAGAUGCUGGUUUCACGUGGUGGUUUAGAUUUGAGUUCCUGUUGUCUAGCACCAUUUGAAAUCAGUGUUCUUGGGGAGAGAGGAUCCCACCGAAGGGGGUGACCGGCAACCAGAGACAGACAGAGAGGACUCCCUCUGGCCUCUACAGCGACAGAAAGGACUCCUAUCUCCACCGUACGCUAUAUUUUUCCCCACUCACAGAUGACUGGUUUCCUCUGGUGCAUAGAGUAAGUCUAGCCUUCUAGCACCAUUUGAAAUCGGUUAUGACACUGGGGAACGUUGCAUCUGCGUCGGUGGACCGUCACAACAUCUGGACCUCCACAACAUCUGGACUUCCACAACAUCUUGACCUCCAGAUAAUCUGGACCUUCAGAACAUCUGCUCUGAUCCGAGGAGAAGCUGCAGGAACGUCAGAGCACUGGUCGGGCACUGCAGCACUGGUCAGGCCCUGGGUGUUGUGGUUUAGUUUUAAGAGCUCGAACAGGAUUGUGGUUAUCUCUGCCUUAUCUAUAUUCAUCUGGGAAAUUUUUAGUUUGUAUUUCAACAUUUUAACCGUAAUGUGUCUUGGCUAGUCAUUAUGUAGUCAGUGUUGUGGUUAUGUAUCCAACUGAGAAGCGUUUAACUGUUGCUGUCACCAGAUAAAUGAUCCGUCUUGAGAAUAGGACCAAUCUGGGAACGUUGGUUUGACGUCACCCCAUUUCGGUAAACCACCGUGACUGCUCCAUGUAUUUGAUCGACUUUAGACUAAACGGGUGAAAUAUUGCCGCCAACGGUUUUACGUCGCCAUCUAGUGGCCAUUUUAAGACCCUUCCUUCUAACCCAAGUCAACCACCAUCUACGCAUGACAUUCAGGGUGAGGUUAAAAAAACAAGUUAUACAACGGAAACAAUGUUCUGAUCAGUGGAUAAAAUACAGAAACCGAAACUUUGGAGGGGAAAAUGGAAAAGCAAAGGAAUGUCCUGUUUAUGAGUUCGCAGCCCAUCGUCGGAUAUGGAGGUGGUCCGGCCAGCGGAACAGCGAGGCCCCCAGGUGGAGGGUUGACAGGUCCCGGGUACUCUGGUCUCCAUCUCUGCCGGGCGCUUUGGACUUGUUGUUGUCACGUGAUACGAAACUCACACCCUGGGACUCGAACUUUUGCAACAGGGGAGCCAGCCACACAACAAGGCGAGGUUGAUAUCACGGUAUCAGUGAUCAGUUGUGAUUAAACACUCCUCCGGGAACGGAGAAGAGAUUCUGAUCAUUUGAGAUGUGUAUACCGGAGAGAAGAGAAAUCUAUGUAGGCUACUAGUAGCCUUACUGUCAACAUUAUUACUAUUUUAUUAGCCUAUUCAAGUUUACCAUCAUUAUUGUUGGUAUUAUAAUAAUACAUAUUAUUAUCGUGAUACACUGUUAUUAUCUAUUUUCUCUUAGUAAUUUGGCAACUGAAAAUAAAUAUACUUACAAUUAUAAACGCCAUUAAUUUCUGUUAUUGUUUAUUGUAAAUAGUGCCCUGCGUAAUGUGUGAAACCGCGCUCGAACUAAGGUAUGCUUUUAACAUCCAUUAAGUUAACAUCCAUUAUAUCUGUCCUCAGAGCUUAUGUUGUGGUUACUAUUUAAGGAAGAUGUCCACAAUUCCAAACUACUAUUCCAGGCUUUUGCUGAGGUGGUUGAAUGACAAGAUGAAACAAAGAACUAUGAUAGGCUUUUCAUUAUCUCAACGUCGGAGAGAGCUGAGGUCGUGUUAAGGGUUGUAAGUCUUUC
ensembl:lncRNA